rnacentral:rRNA from 1 species
GAGUUUGAUCCUGGCUCAGGAUGAACGCUAGCGGCAGGCUUAACACAUGCAAGUCGAGGGGUAACAUAGAAAAGCUUGCUUUUCUGAUGACGACCGGCGCACGGGUGCGUAACGCGUGUACAAUCUGCCUUAUACUGGGGUAUAGCCUUUAGAAAUGAAGAUUAAUCCCCCAUAGUCUCUUUAAAUGGCAUCAUUUUAAGAGUAAAGGUUACGGUAUAAGAUGAGUAUGCGUUCUAUUAGUUUGUUGGUGAGGUAACGGCUCACCAAGACUGCGAUAGAUAGGGGCCCUGAGAGGGGGAUCCCCCACACUGGUACUGAGACACGGACCAGACUCCUACGGGAGGCAGCAGUGAGGAAUAUUGGACAAUGGAGGCAACUCUGAUCCAGCCAUGCCGCGUGCAGGAAGACUGCCCUAUGGGUUGUAAACUGCUUUUAUACAGGAAGAAACCUUGGUACGUGUACCAAGCUGACGGUACUGUAAGAAUAAGGAUCGGCUAACUCCGUGCCAGCAGCCGCGGUAAUACGGAGGAUCCAAGCGUUAUCCGGAAUCAUUGGGUUUAAAGGGUCCGUAGGUGGAUAAUUAAGACAGGGGUGAAAUCUUGCAGCUCAACUGUAAAAUUGCCUUUGAUACUGGUUAUCUUGAGUCAUUAUGAAGUAGUUAGAAUAUGUAGUGUAGCGGUGAAAUGCAUAGAUAUUACAUAGAAUACCAAUUGCGAAGGCAGAUUACUAAUAAUGUACUGACACUGAUGGACGAAAGCGUGGGUAGCGAACAGGAUUAGAUACCCUGGUAGUCCACGCCGUAAACGAUGGUUACUAGCUGUGUGGACUUCGGUCUGCGUGGCUAAGCGAAAGUGAUAAGUAACCCACCUGGGGAGUACGUUCGCAAGAAUGAAACUCAAAGGAAUUGACGGGGGCCCGCACAAGCGGUGGAGCAUGUGGUUCAAUUCGAUGAUACGCGAGGAACCUUAUCAGGGCUUAAAUGUAAGUUGCGUUAGCUAGAGAUAGCUAUUUCUUCGGACCACUUACAAGGUGCCGCAUGGUUGUCGUCAGCUCGUGCCGUGAGGUGUCAGGUUAAGUCCUAUAACGAGCGCAACCCCUGUUGUUAGUUGCCAGCGAGUCAUGUCGGGAACUCUAACAAGAGUGCCGGUGCAAACCGUGAGGAAGGUGGGGAUGACGUCAAAUCAUCACGGCCCUUAUGUCUUGGGCUUCACACGUGCUACAAUGGUUAUUACAAUGGGAAGCCAUCUGGUGACAGAGAGCAAAUCCAUAAAGGUAAUCUCAGUUCGGAUCGGAGUCUGCAACUCGACUCUGUGAAGUUGGAAUCGCUAGUAAUCGUAUAUCAGCAAUGAUACGGUGAAUACGUUCCCGGGCCUUGUACACACCGCCCGUC